UUCUUGAUGGACUCCAGGAGGGAUAUCCCGUUUAGGGAAAAAAAACUGCGUUAACUUUUUUAGAUGUUCGGAAAAACUUUCAGUUUGCCCGUCGGUCUAAACACUUUCGCUUUGAACUUAGUGUUCCAGCGCAGUUGAUUUCUUCCUCGAUCGUUGGCGAAGCUUCCAUCGGCCAUCGGACCUGAUGAGGGACUAUGUUGUUUUCUCUUGCGGCGGUAGCGACGGGGGCGCCGUUGCUAUUAAAGCAUAAUCCCCAAUACACCAUUUGGGCUAAUCCGCUUCUCCAUAGCUGAAGUUUCCUUCAGUUUCUCCACUGAUUGCGAUCCAAGCAUCCGCUUCUAGAUCGUUAUGGCCACCAUCCACUUCGGGAAAUUCCUCGACAGGAUAUACGAUGUCGUUCCACCUCGCUAGGCCUCAGAUCUGGAGUCGAAAACUUGCAAGAGAAGUGAAGUUAUUGAGGGCUAAACUGGAAGAGUGACGCGGAUGAGGCUGUGCGCAACGAGGCAAACCGCCAAUGACGAAACUCUACUGUGGAAGCGCCGGGCCGAGGCGUUUGUACCUGAGGAGGUCCAUCCGCCACCUCCUCCUCCUCUUGUUGCGAAGCUUUUUCCCAUUUCAAGCCACUGCCUCCUCCUACUCCUGUCGUGAAGCUUGUUCCAUUUCAAAUGAUAUCGUCGGGAUGCAAUUGAAUCUGAUCUAUAUUGUGAACCAGAUUAAGAAUGAAAAUGUCAGGGUUAUAGACAUCUAUGGCAUAAGGGAUAGGUACAACCAUGUUUUUGAAGCUAAUCAACAACCAUAGGAUCUCCGAGCUCAAGUUUGAUCAAAGUCGUCUGGAUUGUGGCCUCCAGAGGAUGCAAAUUGCCACAUUAUUUGACACCUAUUCUCUGGUCUCAUGGUAUGGCUGACAGAACUGUAUUAUUUGAGGCAGAGCAAACUGGACCUCCUUUUCUUGAGCAAACUGGUAUGAGUUGUGAAUUCAAGAGAGAAGGAGGCUUCAACUUAGCCAGAAUGGUCAUGAACAUUCUGUUGCAUUCUCCAGGAAAAUUUCAACUUAGCCAAAAGCAAACUGCAAGAAGUCGAUCAUCAACAAUCUCAGCCACUCCCACAAAAGAUACCUAGAAACCUAUGAAGCUUGACGAUGCGGGCCAGGGGUUCCCUCCAUGGUUUGAUGGUUUACGGGUUAUGAUUCAACCAGAAAUCAGAUCCCAAUGUAUAAAGAUCAUAGAAAUCCAAAAUGUUAUUGACAAACAAACAAUUAUUUUACCUGAGGAAGAUGAAGAGGAUGCUACAAUCCAGAUGACAAGAUCAAACUUGAGCUCGGAGAUCCAGCUAUGGUUGUUGAUUAGCUUCAAAAAUGUCGUUUUACCGAUCCCCUAUGCCGUAGAUGCCUAUAACCCUGGCAUUUUCAUCCUUAAUCUGGUUCACAAUAUGGAUCAAAUUCUAUUGCAUCCUGAAGAUAUCAUUUGAAAUGGGGCAAGCUUCACGACAAGAGAAGGAUGCGGCGGUUAAAAUGGGAAGAAGUUCACAACAGGAGGAGGAGAAGGCGGAAGUGGCGGAUGGGCGAUCUCCUCAAAUACAAACGCAUCGGCCUGCCGCUUCCACAGUCGAGUUUCUUCAUUGACGAUUUGCCCAUUGCACACAGCGUCAUCUGCGUCACUCUUUCAGUUUAGCCCUCAAAAGUUUCACGUCUCUCUGCAAGUCUUCGACUCCAGAUCGAGGCCUGACGAGGUGGAACGAAGCUAUAUCGUAUAUCCUGUUGAGAAAUUUUCCAAAGCCGAUUGUGGCCAGAAGCGGAUGAUUGGAUCACAAUCAGUGGAGAAAUUGAGAAGAGGGAAACUUCAGCGAUCAAGAAGCGGAUUAUGCUUCACAGUAAAGAUAGCACGGGCACCCCAGUCGCUACCUACCGUCGCAAGAGAAAACAACAUAGUCCCAAUUUCACGAUUGAACAUAUCAAAAGCUGACCCAUCUCUUCCAUUGUUUUGCUUCUGCCAUGGCAUUCAAUCACAUUUAAACAUUUAGAAAUGUAAAAAAUAAAUAUAUAAUACAGAAUCUUUAUUAUUUCAUCAAGGAAUAAUUAGAAUGAACAACAAAUCAA